UCCGGUUUGUCACCGGCAGUCUCAUUAGAGUGCCCAACUGAAUGUAGCAACUAAUGACAAGGGUUGCGCUCGUUGCGGGACUUAACCCAACACCUCACGGCACGAGCUGACGACAGCCGUGCACCACCUCGCGCCCUGUCCCGAAGGAAAACCGUGUUUCCACGGCUGUCACUUACAUGUCAAGCCCAGGUAAGGUUCUUCGCGUUGCAUCGAAUUAAACCACAUGCUCCGCUGCUUGUGCGGGCCCCCGUCAAUUCCUUUGAGUUUUAGCCUUGCGGCCGUACUCCCCAGGCGGGGCACUUAAUGCGUUAGCGCCGGCACGGGAGGAGUCGACACCUCCCACACCUAGUGCCCAUCGUUUACGGCGUGGACUAC
rnacentral:misc_RNA from 1 species